CCUACGGGAGGCUGCAGUGGGGAAUAUUGCACAAUGGGCGCAAGCCUGAUGCAGCCAUGCCGCGUGUGUGAAGAAGGCCUUCGGGUUGUAAAGCACUUUCAGCGGGGAGGAAGGCGGUGAGGUUAAUAACCUCAUCGAUUGACGUUACCCGCAGAAGAAGCACCGGCUAACUCCGUGCCAGCAGCCGCGGUAAUACGGAGGGUGCAAGCGUUAAUCGGAAUUACUGGGCGUAAAGCGCACGCAGGCGGUCUGUCAAGUCGGAUGUGAAAUCCCCGGGCUCAACCUGGGAACUGCAUUCGAAACUGGCAGGCUAGAGGCUUGUAGAGGGGGGUAGAAUUCCAGGUGUAGCGGUGAAAUGCGUAGAGAUCUGGAGGAAUACCGGUGGCGAAGGCGGCCCCCUGGACAAAGACUGACGCUCAGGUGCGAAAGCGUGGGGAGCAAACAGGAUUAGAUACCGAGUAGUC
rnacentral:rRNA from 1 species